rfam:Solemya velum gill symbiont strain WH SV_sym_Scaffold_1, whole genome shotgun sequence.
GCGCCUGUAGCUCAGCUGGAUAGAGUGUCGCCCUCCGAAGGCGAAGGUCACAGGUUCGACUCCUGUCAGGCGCG